GGUCUCAUAGCUCAGCAGGAUAGAGCACCAGAUUCCUAAUCUGGGGGUCGUAGGUUCGAAUCCUACUGAGAUCG
rnacentral:tRNA from 1 species